rnacentral:rRNA from 1 species
AUGGCCUGGUGGAAAAUCUGUGUACCAAAAAACCAAGGAGGAACGGGAUUCCGUGACAUCCACUGUUUCAACCUGGCUCUGCUUGCCAAAUAGGCAUGGUGUCUCCUUGAAAAUCCCGACUCCUUGUGUGCUACUAUUCUAAGGGCCAAAUACUAUCCCGAUGGUGAUUUGUUAAACUCCAAGCCAAAGCAUGGUGCUUCUUUCACUUGGCAAAGCAUUAUGGUAGGCAUUACUACUCUCAAGCGUGGCUAUAUUUGGCGAGUGGGGGAUAUAACAUCAAUAUUUGGGAAGAUGUCUGGAUCCCAAAUUGUGCCACUAGGAAGAUUGUGA